AGAGUUUGAUCCUGGCUCAGGAUGAACGCUGGCGGCGUGCCUAACACACGCAAGUCGAACGAAGCCUUCGGGCUUAGUGGCGGACGGGUGAGUAACGCGUGAGAAUCUCCCUUCAGGAUGGGGACAACCGUUGGAAACGACGGCUAAUCCCCAAUGUGCCGAGAGGUGAAAGGGUUUCCGCCUGAGGAAGAGCUCGCGUCCGAUUAGUUAGUUGGUGAGGUAAGAGCUCACCAAGGCAGCGAUCGGUAGCUGGUCUGAGAGGAUGAGCAGCCACACUGGGACUGAGACACGGCCCAGACUCCUACGGGAGGCAGCAGUGGGGAAUUUUCCGCAAUGGGCGAAAGCCUGACGGAGCAACGCCGCGUGUGGGAAGAAGGCUCUUGGGCUGUCAACCACUUUUCUCAGGGAAGAAGUUCUGACGGUACCUGAGGAAUCAGCCUCGGCUAACUCCGUGCCAGCAGCCGCGGUAAUACGGAGGAGGCAAGCGUUAUCCGGAAUUAUUGGGCGUAAAGCGUCCGCAGGGGGCGCAUCAAGUCUGCUGUUAAAGGCUGGAGCUUAACUCCGGUAGAGCAGUGGAAACUGGUGCGCUAGAGGGCGACAGGGGUAGAGGGAAUUCCCAGUGUAGCGGUGAAAUGCGUAGAGAUUGGGAAGAACACCGGUGGCGAAAGCGCUCUACUGGGUCGCACCUGACCCUCAGGGA
rnacentral:rRNA from 1 species